CAGGAAGUUCCAAGACCAAGGGUGCCAAUAAUUCAUUUUAACGAUGCCACACCGCCAUUGGUUAUAUGCAUGAAAUUGGACCUGACCAAUGGCUCUUUCGAGGCUAACCUAUCUUCAUUAAACCUUAUCGAAGGCGUUGACUACGUUCAUUUUUCAUAGCAGCUUGAACUGCGACAGCCACUUGGCUGUCGACUAUGUAAAUAAAUGUUUUAUAUAAACGAGAAAA